rnacentral:rRNA from 1 species
GACAGAGGGUGCAAACGUUGUUCGGAAUUACUGGGCGUAAAGCGAGUGUAGGCGGUUCGAUAAGUCGGAUGUGAAAGCCCCGGGCUCAACCCGGGAAGUGCACUCGAUACUGUCGAGCUAGAGUAUCGGAGAGGUUGGUGGAAUUCUCGGGUGUAGAGGUGAAAUUCGUAGAUAUCGAGAGGAACACCGGUGGCGAAGGCGGCUCUCUGGGACGGUACUGACGCUGAGACGCGAAAGCGUGGGGAGCGAACAGG